CCUACGGGUGGCAGCAGUGGGGAAUAUUGGACAAUGGGCGAAAGCCUGAUCCAGCCAUGCCGCGUGUGUGAAGAAGGCCUUCGGGUUGUAAAGCACUUUCAGUGGGGAAGAAAGCCUUGGGGCUAAUACCCUCGAGGAAGGACAUCACCCACAGAAGAAGCACCGGCUAACUCCGUGCCAGCAGCCGCGGUAAUACGGAGGGUGCGAGCGUUAAUCGGAAUUACUGGGCGUAAAGCGCGCGUAGGCGGUCUGAUAAGCCGGUUGUGAAAGCCCCGGGCUCAACCUGGGAACGGCAUCCGGAACUGUCAGGCUAGAGUGCAGGAGAGGAAGGUAGAAGUCCCGGUGUAGCGGUGAAAUGCGUAGAGAUCGGGAGGAAUACCAGUGGCGAAGGCGGCCUUCUGGACUGACACUGACGCUGAGGUGCGAAAGCGUGGGUAGCAAACAGGAUUAGAUACCCGUGUAGUC
rnacentral:rRNA from 1 species